CCCUUAGAGUUUGAUCCUGGCUCAGGAUGAACGCUAGCUACAGGCUUAACACAUGCAAGUCGAGGGGCAUCAGUUUGGUUUGCUUGCAAACCAAAGCUGGCGACCGGCGCACGGGUGAGUAACACGUAUCCAACCUGCCUCAUACUCGGGGAUAGCCUUUCGAAAGAAAGAUUAAUAUCCGAUAGCAUAUAUUUCCCGCAUGGGUUUUAUAUUAAAGAAAUUCGGUAUGAGAUGGGGAUGCGUUCCAUUAGUUUGUUGGCGGGGUAACGGCCCACCAAGACUACGAUGGAUAGGGGUUCUGAGAGGAAGGUCCCCCACAUUGGAACUGAGACACGGUCCAAACUCCUACGGGAGGCAGCAGUGAGGAAUAUUGGUCAAUGGACGCGAGUCUGAACCAGCCAAGUAGCGUGAAGGAUGACUGCCCUAUGGGUUGUAAACUUCUUUUAUAUGGGAAUAAAGUGGUCCACGUGUGGAUUUUU
rnacentral:rRNA from 1 species